UAAAUGGAUGAUAUAUUUGUUUGAAAUGGAUGCAAAACCCGUUAGGAUUUGAACUGUUAAAACCUCUUUAUCGUCAUCAGAAACGCUCAUGUCAAGCCUGAAAAUAUACUGCACAUAUUCUCCAGUGUUAAUAAUGACAGUAAUAAUGGCAGCUGUUUUGAAAAAUAUUUGCUUCACUAACGUAAUUUUAUUUUGGCUCUGAUUGAUCAUUAUGUAAAAAAUCAUCAGACUAGAAAAA